GACGAACGCUGGCGGCGUGCUUAACACAUGCAAGUCGAACGGAAAGGCCCUGCUUUUGUGGGGUGCUCGAGUGGCGAACGGGUGAGUAACACGUGAGUAACCUGCCCUUGACUUUGGGAUAACUUCAGGAAACUGGGGCUAAUACCGGAUAGGAGCUCCUGCUGCAUGGUGGGGGUUGGAAAGUUUCGGCGGUUGGGGAUGGACUCGCGGCUUAUCAGCUUGUUGGUGGGGUAGUGGCCUACCAAGGCUUUGACGGGUAGCCGGCCUGAGAGGGUGACCGGCCACUUUGGGAUUGGGACACGGCCCAGCCCCCCGGGGGGGGCAGCAGUGGGGAAUUUUGCACAAGGGGCGGGAGCCUAAUGCAGCACCGCCGGGGGGGGGAUGGCGGCCUUGGGGUUGAAAACCGCUUUCGCCGGGAAAGAAGGGGGGGGGGCGGUAAUGGGAAAAGAAGCCCCGGCUAAAUAC
rnacentral:rRNA from 1 species